GCGGCUGAUCGCUAAAUGCCAAUCACCACGAUCGAACUUCACGCGAAAUGACUUACAUAUUAAAAUGAGUGAAAGAGAUGCUGUCAGUCUGUGCUAUAGAGUUGCAACCCUUUACCUUCACUUAUUGGAAAACGUAUACCACAACAAAACUGAUGGAUGAAAUGUGUCUUUGGUUACCUGUGGAAGAACAUCCAAUGAGCAUGUUCCCAUUUAAUUGGUUGCUGUAAAUUAAGGUAAUCACAUCUUCCUCAUGCUGUGUUGUAAAUUGUAGAUUAAUAACAGUCCUUUUUACAGUAUUUGUUUUAUAUAUAUAUAUAUGUUUUAGUAAGUUGUAUGGCCACAGAACAUAGUUCUAACUUUUAGGUGUGGCCACAGGAACUUUUUUUCAUGAGAACUGCUGAACUAAAGCCCACUCAUACUGUAUAUGAAUACAGAAAACAUAACUGAGAUGUUUUGCUGCAGUUUUAAUCUGUGAGAUAUGAGAUUCUCAUGGCAGUGAGUAUGAAGGUCACAGCCUUUGGAUGUGACUUUCUUUAGUUUGGAUGAAAAGUAUCAAAAUUCCCCCAUCUUCAUGGUAGAUAGCCUGAAGAUGGAAGCAUUAGGUUCCUUUGAAACCCUGGUAUCUAUUUACCAAUCUACAUGGUAUAAAAUCCCAGAAGACUGUACUCUCCACUCUGAAUACACUUUCAGAGGCUGGUUUGAAGGUGUGGUAGGGCAAAUCAGCUUCUGCCAGAUUUACUCUAUCUAAUGCUGCCAGAGUUGAGAAUGCAUGAAGCAUCCUAACAGUACAAGAAAAACAUUAAUCACAAAAACCUUUAUUAUGCAGUUCUCUCCAGUAGGAAUGUAGUUAUCAACAUACAAAAACAAUAUGAAUGUAUAAUUUCAGUAAUUAUGUUUAUAACAUAAUGCUACAAAGAGCCAUUUAUCAUAAUAAAAAAACAAAUGCUUUAUCAUGUAGUCACCAAUUGUUAUUUUUCAUUUUACAAAGAGACAGGUUAUAUCAACAAAAAUAGCAAAUUUAUCACAAGCUACUUUGCUAUAUGAAACCUGAGGAAAAAUGAAUGGCAACAUGGAGACGAGGUCGGAA